ACGAGUGGCGAACGGGUGAGUAAUAUAUCGGAACGUACCAUUCAGUGGGGGAUAACGUAGCGAAAGUUACGCUAAUACCGCAUAUUCUGUGAGCAGGAAAGCAGGGGAUCGCAAGACCUUGCGCUGAUUGAGCGGCCGAUAUCAGAUUAGCUUGUUGGUGAGGUAAAAGCUCACCAAGGCGACGAUCUGUAGCGGGUCUGAGAGGAUGAUCCGCCACACUGGAACUGAGACACGGUCCAGACUCCUACGGGAGGCAGCAGUGGGGAAUUUUGGACAAUGGGGGCAACCCUGAUCCAGCCAUGCCGCGUGAGUGAAGAAGGCCUUCGGGUUGUAAAGCUCUUUCAGCCGGGAAGAAAACGCAUGGGUUAAUACCCUGUGUGGAUGACGGUACCGGAAUAAGAAGCACCGGCUAACUACGUGCCUGCAGCCGCGGUAAUACGUAGGGUGCGAGCGUUAAUCGGAAUUACUGGGCGUAAAGCGUGCGCAGGCGGUUUUGUAAGACAGGCGUGAAAUCCCCGGGCUUAACCUGGGAACUGCGUUUGUGACUGCAAGGCUAGAGUACGGCAGAGGGGGGUGGAAUUCCACGUGUAGCAGUGAAAUGCGUAGAGAUGUGGAGGAACACCAAUGGCGAAGGCAGCCCCCUGGGUCGAUACUGACGCUCAUGCACGAAAGCGUGGGUAGCAAACAGGAUUAGAUACCCUGGUAGUCCACGCCCUAAACGAUGUCAACUAGGUGUUGGGAGGGUAAAACCUUUUAGUACCGGAGCUAACGCGUGAAGUUGACCGCCUGGGGAGUACGGCCGCAAGGUUAAAACUCAAAGGAAUUGACGGGGACCCGCACAAGCGGUGAUGAUGUGGAUUAAUUCGAUGCAACGCGAAAAACCUUACCUACCCUUGACAUGCCAAGAACUUUCCAGAGAUGGAUUGGUGCCCGAAAGGGAACUUGGACACAGGUGCUGCAUGGCUGUCGUCAGCUCGUGUCGUGAGAUGUUGGGUUAAGUCCCGCAACGAGCGCAACCCUUGUCGUUAAUUGCCAUCAUUUAGUUGGGCACUUUAACGAGACUGCCGGUGACAAACCGGAGGAAGGUGGGGAUGACGUCAAGUCCUCAUGGCCCUUAUGGGUAGGGCUUCACACGUCAUACAAUGGUCGGUACAAAGGGUCGCCAAGCCGCGAGGUGGAGCCAAUCCCAGAAAGCCGAUCGUAGUCCGGAUCGCAGUCUGCAACUCGACUGCGUGAAGUCGGAAUCGCUAGUAAUCGUGGAUCAGAAUGUCACGGUGAAUACGUUCCCGGGUCUUGUACACACCGCCCGUCACACCAUGGGAGCGGGUUCCGCCAGAAGUAGGUAGCCUAACCGCAAGGAGGGCGCUUACCACGGCGGGGUUCGUGACUGGGGUGAAGUCGUAACAAGGUA
rnacentral:rRNA from 1 species